UCAAGUCAGUGAUGAUACAAGUUAUCCCUGUCUGAACAUAUAUGUUGAGUCAUGGUAACCUGAGGCUUGU